GGAGGGUAAGCGAAUGGUUAGCGGCUUCAUUGGAAAUGAAGUGCCCCGUAAGGGGUUGCGAGUUCGAAUCUCGUGCCCUCCGCUA
rnacentral:tRNA from 1 species